AUAUCAAUAAGCGGAGGAAAAGAAACCAACAGGGAUUGCCCUAGUAACGGCGAGUGAAGCGGCAACAGCUCAAAUUUGAAAUCUGGCUCUCGGGCCCGAGUUGUAAUUUGUAGAGGAUACUUUUGAUGCGGUGCCUUCCGAGUUCCCUGGAACGGGACGCCAUAGAGGGUGAGAGCCCCGUCUGGUUGGAUGCCAAAUCUCUGUAAAGUUCCUUCAACGAGUCGAGUAGUUUGGGAAUGCUGCUCUAAAUGGGAGGUAUAUGUCUUCUAAAGCUAAAUACCGGCCAGAGACCGAUAGCGCACAAGUAGAGUGAUCGAAAGAUGAAAAGCACUUUGAAAAGAGAGUUAAAAAGUACGUGAAAUUGUUGAAAGGGAAGCGUUUAUGACCAGACUUGGGCUUGGUUAAUCAUCUGGGGUUCUCCCCAGUGCACUUUUCCAGUCCAGGCCAGCAUCAGUUUUCCCCGGGGGAUAAGGGCGGCGGGAAUGUGGCUCUCUUCGGGGAGUGUUAUAGCCCACCGUGUAAUACCCUGGGGGGGACUGAGGUUCGCGCAUCUGCAAGGAUGCUGGCGUAAUGGUCAUCAACG
rnacentral:rRNA from 1 species